rnacentral:rRNA from 1 species
UUCUUUGCUGACGAGUGGCGGACGGGUGAGUAAUGUCUGGGAAACUGCCUGAUGGAGGGGGAUAACUACUGGAAACGGUAGCUAAUACCGCAUAACGUCGCAAGACCAAAGAGGGGGACCUUCGGGCCUCUUGCCAUCGGAUGUGCCCAGAUGGGAUUAGCUAGUAGGUGGGGUAACGGCUCACCUAGGCGACGAUCCCUAGCUGGUCUGAGAGGAUGACCAGCCACACUGGAACUGAGACACGGUCCAGACUCCUACGGGAGGCAGCAGUGGGGAAUAUUGCACAAUGGGCGCAAGCCUGAUGCAGCCAUGCCGCGUGUAUGAAGAAGGCCUUCGGGUUGUAAAGUACUUUCAGCGGGGAGGAAGGGAGUAAAGUUAAUACCUUUGCUCAUUGACGUUACCCGCAGAAGAAGCACCGGCUAACUCCGUGCCAGCAGCCGCGGUAAUACGGAGGGUGCAAGCGUUAAUCGGAAUUACUGGGCGUAAAGCGCACGCAGGCGGUUUGUUAAGUCAGAUGUGAAAUCCCCGGGCUCAACCUGGGAACUGCAUCUGAUACUGGCAAGCUUGAGUC